GGGGAUAACAGGCUGAUCACUCCCAAGAGCUCACAUCGACGGAGUGGUUUGGCACCUCGAUGUCGGCUCGUCACAUCCUGGGGCUGAAGCAGGUCCCAAGGGUUGGGCUGUUCGCCCAUUAAAGUGGCACGCGAGCUGGGUUCAGAACGUCGCGAGACAGUUCGGUCCCUAUCUGUGGUGGGCGUUGGAAUUUUGAGAAGUGCUGUCCUUAGUACGAGAGGACCGGGAUGGACAUACCUCUAGUGUACCUGUUGUGGCGCCAGCCGCACCGCAGGGUAGCUACGUAUGGAAUGGAUAAGUGCUGAAAGCAUCUAAGCACGAAGCCUGCUUCAAGAUGAGAAUUCCUUUAAGGGUCGUUGAAGACUACAACGUUGAUAGGCUGCAGGUGUAAAGGCGGUAACGUCAAAGCCGAGCAGUACUAAUUACCCGUAAGCUUUCUUAA
rnacentral:rRNA from 1 species